rnacentral:rRNA from 1 species
AGGAUGAACGCUGGCGGCGUGCCUAACACAUGCAAGUCGAACGUCCUGUCUCGCAAGAGGCAGGGAGUGGCGGACGGGUGAGUACCACGUGGGUCAUCUACCGUGAGGUGAGGAAUACCGGCGAGAAAUCGCCGACAAGACCGCAUAGCCUCGGUGCAAGCCGAGGAAAGCUUUCUCGAGAGAGGGAGCGCCACACGAGGAGCCUGCGCCCGAUUAGCUAGCUGGUGGAGUAACGGUUCACCAGGGCGACGAUCGGUAGCUGGUCUGAGAGGACGAUCAGCCACACUGGGAUUGAGAACGGCCCAGACUCCUACGGGGGGCAGCAGUGAGGAAUUUUCGUCAAUGGGGCAACCCUGAACGAGCAACGCCGCGUGCAGGAAGAAGGUUUUCGGAUCGUAAACUGCUUUUCGUCGGGGAAGAGAACGGACGGUACCCGAGGAAUCAGCCCCGGCUAACUACGUGCCAGCAGCCGC